rnacentral:rRNA from 2 species
UACGGAGGGUGCAAGCGUUAUCCGGAUUCACUGGGUUUAAAGGGUGCGUAGGAGGGUAGGUAAGUCAGUGGUGAAAUCCCCGAGCUUAACUUGGGAACUGCCGUUGAUACUAUCUAUCUUGAAUAUCGUGGAGGUGAGCGGAAUAUGUCAUGUAGCGGUGAAAUGCUUAGAUAUGACAUAGAACACCAAUUGCGAAGGCAGCUUGCUACACGAAUAUUGACUCUGAGGCACGAAAGCGUGGGGAUCAAACAGG